GGUCCGCUAGUGCAACGGUAGCGCGUCUGACUACGAUAUUCAGUAAUCAAAAGGCUCCAGGUUCGAGACGGGCGGAUCG